CAAGGAUGAUGCUGAUGACUGAGCAUUCUCUAAAGAGGCUACAAGAAAACAGCGAAAGAGAUUCAAGUUGACCACACCCAUCUGCUCAGGGGAAGGGUCACCAGUUGCUGGACGGUUUUAGAUGUCUCUUCUCCAGGCAGCAGGAAACCUAAAAACUCAGUUCAAGCUACAAAAUUGUACCAAAAAAAUCAAGCUACAAAAGAGAAAUUGUCUUGGCUGGCAUUGCCAGAACAGCCAGGGUGGAGCUGGUCAUUGGUCUGUUGGGUCACAUCUGGUCUUUGUUUCUGCGAACUUAUCCUGGCCUUGCCUCUGUCAACAGCUGACAUCCUCAGGCUGAUCACCAAGUGAGUGGCUUCCUGGAGCAACAGACCCUCCAUGACCCCUCUUUUACCUCUAGGUGAAAAAGAAAGAAAUUAUAAGCAUGGCACCAAACAAGAUUUCUGAGCCUCAUGCAGAAGGCAAUCAGUAUAGUUAAAAUGGUGCCAUAUAGGGUUACACCCUCAUUGCUGAACCAAUACCUGAAGUAAAUGACUUUCAACCGUCCCUGGAGCUGCAUGUGAUAGCAGUCCCAUACAAACCCUUAAUCUUCUGGCUGUUACAUGGUGGGGAACAGACUGGUAUUGGGAGACAAACAAAACAUCCUUUUUAACCACCAUCUAUUGCCCCCAUAAAACUGUGAGCACCUGUAAGAGAGACAGUCCUGACAUCCCUCUGUGCCUUUAGAUGCUACCUAGUGGCUGGCAUAAAAUCAAGAUUGGAUAGUAAAUGAAUGAGCAAAUAAAAUAAUAGUUGAUCACCUCAAACAUGUAUGUGUCACCAACCAUUCCUGUAAUUCUUAAAGCAUAUUGUAGUUGUGACAGUAUUUGCACAACACCUCAUUUUCAAACCCAUCCUGCAUGGGUGUAAUUUUUACCUAUUGCUUGCUGGGUCUUUCACUUGAUUUCAACACAUUACCGAUUAU